UCAGAGCGAGUCGGGUACAGCAGUGAGGGCUUCCUGGAAGAGUGCUGCUCUCUGAGCAGGGUCCUAAGGAGCUAGGCGGUGUCGGGAUCGCGGGGGGCAGCAGCACCUCCAGCAUGUCAAGUCUUAUGUCACCCAGACAGCAGAAGGCCUACAUAGCUACACAGGGGCCUCUGGCCGAGAGCACCGAGGACUUCUGGCGCAUGUUAUGGGAGCACAAUUCCACCAUCAUCGUCAUGCUGACGAAGCUUCGGGAGAUGGGCAGGGAGAAAUGUCACCAGUACUGGCCAGCAGAGCGCUCUGCUCGCUAUCAAUACUUUGUCGUUGACCCGAUGGCUGAGUACAACAUGCCCCAGUAUAUCCUGCGUGAAUUCAAAGUCACAGAUGCCCGG
rnacentral:lncRNA from 1 species